GAUGAACGCUGGCGGCGUGCCUAAUACAUGCAAGUCGAGCGAACAGAUAAGGAGCUUGCUCCUUUGACGUUAGCGGCGGACGGGUGAGUAAUACGUGGGUAACCUACCUAUAAGACUGGGAUAACUUCGGGAAACCGGAGCUAAUACCGGAUAACAUUUGGAACCGCAUGGUUCUAAAGUGAAAGAUGGUUUUGCUAUCACUUAUAGAUGGACCCGCGCCGUAUUAGCUAGUUGGUAAGGUAACGGCUUACCAAGGCGACGAUACGUAGCCGACCUGAGAGGAUGAUCGGCCACACUGGAACUGAGACACGGUCCAGACUCCUACGGGAGGCAGCAGUAGGGAAUCUUCCGCAAUGGGCGAAAGCCUGACGGAGCAACGCCGCGUGAGUGAUGAAGGGUUUCGGCUCGUAAAACUCUGUUAUUAGGGAAGAACAAACGUGUAAGUAACUGUGCACGUCUUGACGGUACCUAAUCAGAAAGCCACGGCUAACUACGUG
rnacentral:rRNA from 1 species